GCGAUCGAUGGGAGCUUGCUCCCUGAGAUGAGCGGCGGACGGGUGAGUAACACGUGGGUAACCUGCCUGUAAGACUGGGAUAACUUCGGGAAACCGGAGCUAAUACCGGAUAGGUUCUUCUCUCGCAUGAGAGAGGAUGGAAAGAUGGUUCUGCUAUCACUUACAGAUGGACCCGCGGCGCAUUAGCUAGUUGGUGAGGUAACGGCUCACCAAGGCAACGAUGCGUAACCGACCUGAGAGGGUGAUCGGCCACACUGGGACUGAGACACGGCCCAGACUCCUACGGGAGGCAGCAGUAGGGAAUCUUCCGCAAUGGACGAAAGUCUGACGGAGCAACGCCGCGUGAGCGAAGAAGGCCUUCGGGUCGUAAAGCUCUGUUGUUAGGGAAGAACAAGUACCAGAGUAACUGCUGGUACCUUGACGGUACCUAACCAGAAAGCCACGGCUAACUACGUGCCAGCAGCCGCGGUAAUACGUAGGUGGCAAGCGUUGUCCGGAAUUAUUGGGCGUAAAGCGCGCGCAGGCGGUCCUUUAAGUCUGAUGUGAAAGACCACGGCUUAACCGUGGAGGGUCAUUGGAAACUGGGGGACUUGAGUGCAGAAGAGGAGAGUGGAAUUCCACGUGUAGCGGUGAAAUGCGUAGAGAUGUGGAGGAACACCAGUGGCGAAGGCGACUCUCUGGUCUGUAACUGACGCUGAGGCGCGAAAGCGUGGGGAGCGAACAGGAUUAGAUACCCUGGUAGUCCACGCCGUAAACGAUGAGUGCUAAGUGUUAGAGGGUUUCCGCCCUUUAGUGCUGCAG
rnacentral:rRNA from 1 species